rnacentral:tRNA from 1 species
GCCGGCAGAAGUCUGGGCGGAUUCAGCUUCUUAAUCCAAAAGGAUGUAGAGUUCACGGGUUCGAAUCCCGUUGCUGGCG